UGGGGAAUCUUGCACAAUGGGGGCAACCCUGAUGCAGCGACGCCGCGUGAGCGAUGAAGCCCUUCGGGGCGUAAAGCUCUUUCGACCGGAACGAUAAUGACGGUACCGGGAGAAGAAGCUGCGGCUAACUACGUGCCAGCAGCCGCGGUAAUACGUAGGCAGCAAGCGUUGUUCGGAGUUACUGGGCGUAAAGAGUGCGUAGGCGGUUUUCUAAGUUCGGUGUGAAAUCCCCGGGCUUAACCUGGGAACUGCGUUUGUGACUGCAAGGCUGGAGUACGGCAGAGGGGGGUGGAAUUCCACGUGUAGCAGUGAAAUGCGUAGAGAUGUGGAGGAACACCGAUGGCGAAGGCAGCCCCCUGGGCCUGUACUGACGCUCAUGCACGAAAGCGUGGGGAGCAAACA
rnacentral:rRNA from 1 species